UUCAUGUUUGAAGGAAGUAGAAAAAUUCUCUUACACAAAUCAUCGAACAGAGAAAAUACAUUUUAGUGGCAUAAAUAAAAUACUCAUUCCUGUUGAAAUGAAUGUAUCUAAAUACGAUGUAUAAGUUAUAAUGUAUAUUAGGGCAUCAAGACUCUGCAAAAUAAUUACCAUUAAUCAAAGUAAAAGGAUAACUAGUGGAAUUGUGAUAGCAUAAUUCUGACUGCUGACCACCAUUGAUGCAGUCUGCAACUUUACUGAUUCCUUCAAUCAAUUUCAGAUAAAUGAAUAUAAUAUAAUAUACCAAUAAAAAUCAUAAGCUGCAGAAAAUUAGAUGUUAAAUUAUAGACCCUUGGUAGAUAUUUGAAGAAAGUAGAACCAUGGUUGUUAUAUUCUCUCGAUCCGGAUGUUAUGAUCAUAUGGUUGUAUUCUACGAUCCAAUUCUAACAGGAAAAUUAAAUUGUAGAAUCAUGUGGUUCUGUUGCUGGAUUUUAACCAUCCUAUCAAUCCUAAUGAUUCCACGAGCCUCCACUUUUUUCAUUAUUUUAAAGUUUUUUGCAUUAUUAUUUAAUAGAUUAAUCUGGUUGGAUCUUUUUUUUUUUUGGUGACGGGGGAUCAGAACCGCUAUCCUUCGUGGAUAAACUCUCUGGCAGGAUCCUCG
rnacentral:lncRNA from 1 species